ACCUCUUAUUUUAUUUUUUUUAUUUUUUAUUUUUAUUUUUUGCUGUUAACAAGCAUGUGAUCUCUGAAGACACAAAUCUACAGUUUGAGAACUGCAAAACUAAGCAUCCCUGAUGGUAUCUUCUAUACUGAGCACUGAGUUCUAUUGGGUAGAUAGAAAGAUUAACCUAAAUAAUCUAUACAGAAGCCUGUGGAACCCCAUAAGGUUGGGUCCCUAAUCCAUGAACUAUUGGAACUCAUUUACAAAACUUUUUUCUUCAACAUUACAUGAAUCUAUUGUCUCAUACUGUAGAAUUAGAAUUUAUAAUCCCUAUUCCAUGAUGAGAUAUAGCUUUGAGCUGUAAUGUAUCUUAAUUAAAACUAUCUUUAGAUCGUAUUUUUUUGAUUAAAAUGUUUUUUGAGGGGAAAAAACUAUUUCCCCCCCACCCCCCAAAUUGAUUUUUAUCCACCCUGAUCAGUAGGCCAAAACAAUAGAUCCAUUAGAGGCACUGAUACUGAAGAUUCUUGACAACAUGCUGAAGUGGCCUUUACUCUUAAGACCACCUUGCAGCAAUAUUGGCAUGUCAUUGCCUGGUAUUGUCACAUUCAAUCUUCUCACAUCCAUUAGUAUCAAAAUUCCUUACAGUCCUCUUUCAUACUUACCCUUUGGUUACAGGCCUGACUCCCUUGUGGGACCUCAACUCUGUCCUCCUACAGCUCAGUCUUCUUCUCUGAACCACUGACCAAAUGCUAAGUGCAUCACCUUAUCAUCAAGACGGUCUUUUUGGUGGCCAUCACUUCAGCUUGGAGUAACUGUGCUCUAAGCUCUCACUGAAGGAUGCAUAAGGCAGUCCAGCCAUAGGGACAAAGUGGUUUUAAGAUUACACCCCAAGUUCCACCUGAAGGUCUGCUCAGACUUUCACUUGAGCCAAUUGAUAACCUUGCCAGUUUUCUUACUUCAGCUGCACUUGAUAUUUGAAUGAGGAAACUGCACAUGCUGAAUGUCUCCAAUGCUGUGCUACAUUACCUUAAUAGGGACAAGGCUUUUUAAUUGUCUCCUUGCUUCUUUAUGGCUGUUACUGGCACACCUGCUAUCAUCUGGCUGGCAAGCCUCUUCCUCCAAAUAUUGACGUACUCCACCAGUGUAAAGGCUGCAUCUGCUGCCUGCCACAGGAACAUUCCAAUCUCAGAUGUGUAAGGCUGUGGAGUGACUCCACUGAUUUCCGUUAAACAUUCUGACUUUGACAUGGCAGCCAGGAGAGAGAGAGUUUGAGAGGGCAAUGCUCCAGUUGUUUGAUAUGGUAGGAACUCCUGACUCCUACCACCCAGGUAGCAUGUUGUUUUGCUGGUGACCUACAGUGGCAUAGUCAGAGAAUGUUACUUACCCUGAUGUGACUGUGGUUCUUGUAGAUGUUGUAGUCAGUGUAGACUCUCCCUAUAUCCCUACUUUUUGGAGUCCUCAGCUAACAUGGCUUUGAAUUGCAGGGGAACUGAAGGAGGGUCAUGGCCAUCCUACUCUUUAUGCCAUCAUAUGGGAGCAUGAGGAGGCACAAGGUGUGUGUGUGUGGGGGGGGGCGCAGGAGGCUCUUCAGAGACUAGUGUGCAAAGAAAGUCCGGUCUUGCACGCAUAUGCACUUCUGACAUCUCAAAGUCCAGUCCCCUCAUGGCAGGACUAUUUAUUAUCUAGACAAUCCCUAAAAGGUAUUUGUCUAACCUGCUCUUAAAAAAUCUCAUGGUGUUCUUUCUAAUUCAUUGUAACAGGUUUCAAAGAAGUAGCCAUGUUAGUCUGUAUUCGCAAAAAUAAAAGGAGUACUUGUGGUACCUUAGAGACUAACAAAUUUAUUUGUUAGUCUCUAAGGUGCCAUAAGUACUACUUUUCUUUUUAAUUCAUUGUAGUUUAUUCUAAUACAUCUCAAUAAAGAAAAAAAUAACGGAUGUAAUUAUAGCCAUGGAAGUUGGUGAUAUUGACACUGGUUGUGUAAUAAUAGUUAGUGACCUUUUUCAUCCUGACCCAGAUCAUGGGACUGGGUCUAGGAAGAAGUUUAGUUCUCAGCAUUCCUGUGCCUCAUGAUGGUCCUUUCUCCAAUAAUACUGUCAUUCUUCCGCUCUUCAAAGUUGCCCAUCCUUCCUCAAAGUCCCCAUAUGAGAUUCUCAUGUUACCUACAUCCCUCCUAGUCCCCAUCCUCCAUGGUGUGCUGUUACUCAUCAAGGAAUCAGAUGUGGGUGGGCAAGCAUGGUGAGCAGGUCUUUUGGGAGUGGGAAGGAGACAUCCAUGUGAAGGGUUGCGAAUAGGAGAAUACUUGCCUGUUGGGUAGAGAGCCUGGGUGCAUGAGGGAUUUAGGUUAGUCAGGAGAGCCCACUGUCUCUGUGCCAAGGUAUUGGUGUUUUGUGCACCGGGGAGCCAGAGUAUCUGCUCCAAGUAAGUGGUGUGGAAAGUACUCCCAGGGCACGAAGUGCAUUAAGUGUUCCUUACUGCAUUAGGCAUCAGUGCUAUGGGGAGCCCUUCAACUGCCAGUGCUUAUGUGAUGUGUUUGUAAAGAUGAAGAGACUGAGUUUUGGGAUGUUUUGUUAGGAUAGUAGGAUAUGUGAGUUGAGGUUGGCGUGGGGUGAAUCUUGGCUUAACUGGCAAUUACCUGAAUUUUUAGCAAAAGUGUUCUAGGAAAUACAUAUGAGUAACCUUAACUUGUAAGCUAAAAGAUAUUUUGUUUGGGGAUAUGUUUGAAGUCUUCUAAAUCAAGUGAUUUCAUCAUUCCUUUCCUGGCUUUGAUAUAGCAUAGUAGUUAAUUUUCUGCUGCUUUAAUAUGCUUAUUGUUACUCCAUUUAGCCUUUGAUUAAACUACCCAAUAAGAGACAGUGAUAUCUCAAUUUAGAUGGGAUUUUUUUUUUAAGGAUUUAAGUGAUUUUAAGAGCACAGGCCUCAUUGAAAGUUACUAAAUUACAUAGGCAUGUUCUGAAAUCCCACCCUUCACUUUAAGCUCAGUAAAUCAAAUGCACUUUGUUGGCAUCUCGCUUUUUAAAAUUUAACUUUGGAUCUACAAAACAACUUGAUUGAUACAGCUAUGUUUGGCAGGUAGUUAUUACACAUUUUAGCUGAUCUUUUUCUUUUGCUAAAAAAAAAUCUCCUUGAUUAAAGUUUUUGUCCCAACCUGACUAGUCAGAGAAACUGGGAAGACUGGUGGGAGACCAUACAGAUUGGAAAUAUGUUUUUUAGCUGCUAAGUUACGAUUUACAUUAAUUGGUCAAAGGGGUUUCCUGACAUGGUCUAUUCAUGUCAUAUUUUUAAAAUGUCAAUGUCUUAAUCAAAAGAGAAGCAUUCAUUUUUAUGGAAUCUAUGUAUAAACUGAAAAUGGAGAAGAGGAUAAACUAAAAAACUUGAAAAAAAAUCAUAAAACUAAUUCCAGUCAGCUAUAGUUCAGUACAAUACAUUUUUUCGUAAAUACUACUUUCUUUUUAAAACUAACACUGUUUUAAAGCUAUGCUGCUUAUAUUUUUUCCUCCACCCUUUUAGGGAACAGAAGAGAAACUCCUUAUUUGAAUGCCACUGGGUUAAUUUUAAUUCAAUGUAAAAGAAGCUGCUGAGCAGCAGAAAAUGCCGUUUGGGUUUUAAAUGAAGGAUUUUGGCCAUGACUGACCUAAGUAGACACAUCAGUAAGAGUUAAAA